GUCUGCAGAUAGCUGCGCCGGCUUUUACUUUGAGAAAAAUAAAGUUCUUCAAGCAGGCGUACGUCAUGGAUAUGUGAGCAUGGAAUAAUCAUAUAUGCCUCGGCUCAGAUUUUGUUGGUUUCCAUUGCUGAGGUAAAGGGUUGUAGGGCCAGAUGGGGGCACUCGCAUUUAACUGUCAGAGGUGAAAUUAUUGGAUUUGUUAAAGACGGCCCAGUGCGAAAGCAUUUGCCAAGAAUGUUCUCGUUGAUCAAGAACGAAAGUUAGGGGAUCGAAAAUGAUCAGAUACCAUCCUAGUCUUAACCAUAAACGAUGCCUACUAGAGAUCGGAGGUUGUUCAAUUUGCGACGCCUUCAGCAUCCUAUGAGAAAUCGAAGUCUUUGGGUUCUGGGGGGAGUAUGGUCGCAAGGCUGAAACUUAAAGGAAUUGACGGAAGGGCACCACCAGGAGUGGAGCCUGCGGCUUAAUUUGACUCAACGCGGGGAAACUUACUAGGUCCAGACACAGUAAGGAUUGACAGACUGAUAGAUCUUUCGUGAUCUUGUGGGUGGUGGUGCAUGGCCGUUCUUAGUUGGUGGAGUGAUUUGUCUGGUUAAUUCCGUUCACGAACGAGACCUCAACUCACUAAUUAGCCACGCCAGUCUUAGGAUAGGUGGGGUGCUUCUUAGAGGGACUUUGUGCUUCUAGUACAAGGAAGAUUGAGGCAAUAACAGGUCUGUGAUGCCCUUAGAUGUUGUGGGCUGCACGCGCGCGACACUGAUUCAUCCAUCGAGUUUGCGCCUUGCCCUAUAUGGUCGGGCACUCUUCUGAAACUGCAUCGUGUUGGGGAUAGAUUAUUGCAAUUAUUAAUCUUGAACGAGGAAUUCCUAGUAGGCGCGAGUCAUCAACUCGUGCUGAUUAUGUCCCUGCCCUUUGUACACACCGCCCGUCGCUCCUACCGAUUGAGUGCUCCUGUGAACAAUUUGGAUUGCGGCAGUCUCCAGUAUUGGCACCUGCUGUAGGAAGAUUUGUGAAUGCAAC
rnacentral:rRNA from 1 species